AACGUAGGAGACAAACGUUAUCCGGAUUUACUGGGCGUAAAGCGUGUGCAGGUGGCCUGUUAAGUGGUGUAUGAAAUCGCCCGGCUCAACCGGGCGGGGUUAUGCCAGACUGGCAGGCUAGAGGGUGGGAGAGGGAUGUGGAAUUCCGGGUGUAGAGGUGAAAUUCGGUAGAUAUCGGGAGGAACACCAGUGGCGAAGGCGACUACCUGGCCUGUUCUUGACGCUGAGGCGCGAAAGCCAGGGGAGCAAACGGG
rnacentral:rRNA from 1 species